ACAAUUAUACGUACUUUUCAUUUUCUUUUUGCCUUUUUGGAAAAUUAUUAUUUUUGGAAGCAAACACAAUGAUUUGCUACAACUUGAAUAUUUCUAUCUAUUUUCGCCAAAUUUAUAUUAGAAGAUUCAAGUAAGGGGUAGAACAUGCUAAUAAUUAUAUUUAUAUAUAAUUAUGAAAUAAAGAGAAAAAUAAAUAAAAUAAAAUAGAAAAAUAAUUAUUAAUUUAACCCUAUCAUUUAUGCAUAUAUAGUAGAAUAAUUGGAUUUGAUUCAUUCUCUUCUUUUUUAAUGCUUCUAAAUAUUAUUUAAAUUUAUGAAAAUAUUCAUCUUUUUUUUUUAUAAAGAUAAAUUAUUCUAUAUUAAAAUAUUCGUCGAGAUAUUUUUCAUUAUUUGUUUAUUUAUUAAAACUCAACCACUGAUUCAUGUAUCAAUACUUUCUUUAUCCGAGACGGCAGUGUGCAAGUUGCAUUGACCCGGAGACCUUUACAAGCGUCCAGUACCAGUAGGCGGUAGGCGAUGAGGUCCGUAGUUUUCAAAUUUGCUCGAUGGAAUGAGGUGGGCGUAAAGUGGACCAUAGCCCACAUGUUAUAUAAAAAGACGACAAUUGACGCAAGUAAUUUCCAGUCGUUUCGGAUAAGAUCAAGCAUGCGUACGUAAAAUAUUAAUACGUUGGUUGCAAAUACAUUAAAAUAACAAUUAAAUGCGUCCUUUUUCACAUUAAGAAUUCCACAUUGUUAUAAUAAUUCCACAAAGGGCAUAAAAAGAUAGAAACUCAUAAUAAUUAGUAACCAUUUGAUUUAUUAGCAGCAGUUAUCAUCAAACUAAAUAAAACAGUACUGAACUACAAAUACAAGUCUUGUUUACAAUUACAACACCACAACCGAGUUCUCUGAUUCCGUUCAUUCACUGUUCAACCAUCAUGCGCCUCAAGUCGAUCACUGAAGAUCGAACAUGAGAUAAUCCUAACUGGGAGAAGGUUAGGAUUAGGAUCCACCAAAUGUUAGGACAAUAGCUAGUUGAGUCCAUAAACAAAAACGACCAGCUCGCCAACUCAAAAGUCUAAUGGGUAAGCAGCACAAAUGGUGAAGCUGUGGUCAGAACACCCGAGGUUGCAAGUAUAUUACCUCAAAAUGCAGAAGGCCUCCAAGUCUAUUGAUUUCAAUGGCCAGUUGUUAAAAGGUGGACUUCCUUUAAAAGUUCUUGAAUUUAAACUGUAUGCCUCAGCAUUAUUCUGCAAAGAAAUUAAGCUAAUAAUAUUAGUGAGACAACAAUUUUAUAUUCAUUCACAGUUAGCAUCAACACAUUGUCCAUGGUUAAUCUAGAAGAUUUUUAAAUUACAAUUCCUCAUUCACUCAAAUAUUCCCAAAAAGAUAUUAGAGCUUGUCCAUAACUGACUCAGGUGAAAUGAUAAACUGGUAUGUGUGCAACAACUCCAACGUGGAACUACAUUUGUACCACAUUGCAAAAAGAAACCAUCAAAAUGGGGAGGAAAAUAUGAGCAAAUAAAAAUUUUCAACUCCUUAAUUUAUCUUCUUAUUUGAAACUCAGUAUUCAUCAACUUACAACCUUGACAUAAUUAUUAAUUUAACCCUAUCAUUUAUGCAUAUACAGUAGAAUAAUUGGAUUUGUUUCAUUUCUUCUUUUUUAAUGCUUCUAAAUAUUAUUUAAAUUUAUGAAAAUAUUCAUCUUCCCACGUCUCCACUU
rnacentral:lncRNA from 1 species